rnacentral:tRNA from 1 species
GGUCCCGUAGUGCAGUUUGGAGUGCACGCCGCCCUGUCAAGGCGGAGGCCGCGGGUUCAAAUCCCGUCGGGACCG